rnacentral:lncRNA from 1 species
GAUUCUGCAUUUGGAAGAACUCAGCUGCUCCAACAACUUCGAUAGUUCUUUAGGAGAGAAAUGUGGUACGAAGCAUUACCUAGUUUGUUUUUGACCGGUUUCUUUGUAUGCCUCCCAUAUGGCCUUGUUCCGGUUAUUCAUAAAAUCUUCCAAAAUGGGAAUGCUUCAAAAUAAAACCCAUGAUAGGUUUUUCUAUAGAAGGGAUACUCGUUUGACUGGUAACCCUUAUGUGCUGAAGGGUUUGGAAUCUAUCCCUGAUUAGACAAACAGAUUCAGGUCUCAGUGUUACCAUAGAGGAUUUGAUGAAAUAAAUGUAUUAGUGGGAAAGAAGAAUCAAUUUGUCAUUAGUGAUUGUAUGUCGAACCUGGUUAUCUACCAAAAGCUUUGAAUCAGUCUUACCUAUUUCUCCUCUGAGCUAACUUGUUUGGUUUCUCAGAUGAUAUGAAACUUUAUUACUUCAAGUUCCCUUUUGGAUUGUGUACAUGGUACAAAUUUGCUCUUUAGGUAAAUAUCAAUUCAAAGAAAUUGCUUUGAAUUGAUAAGUUCCACAUCAUGAAAAUCAUCAGAAUGGAGCAAACAGUGCUAAUUUGAUCUUUUAUUUGAUUUGUGUGUCGAUGAGAUUUGUGGCAGCACUUUUGUCAGUAUCAUUUGAACACAGAACAUUUUAUGCCCUGAAUUUACAUAGAAACAGAAGUGGAAACAGA